rnacentral:rRNA from 1 species
AUUGAACGCUGGCGGCAUGCUUUACACAUGCAAGUCGAACGGUAACAGGCCGCAAGGUGCUGACGAGUGGCGAACGGGUGAGUAAUGCAUCGGAACGUGCCCAGUCGUGGGGGAUAACUACUCGAAAGAGUAGCUAAUACCGCAUACGAUCUAUGGAUGAAAGCGGGGGACCGUAAGGCCUCGCGCGAUUGGAGCGGCCGAUGUCAGAUUAGGGAGUUGGUGGGGUAAAGGCUCACCAAGCCAACGAUCUGUAGCUGGUCUGAGAGGACGACCAGCCACACUGGGACUGAGACACGGCCCAGACUCCUACGGGAGGCAGCAGUGGGGAAUUUUGGACAAUGGGCGCAAGCCUGAUCCAGCAAUGCCGCGUGCAGGAAGAAGGCCUUCGGGUUGUAAACUGCUUUUGUACGGAACGAAACGGCUCUGGUUAAUACCCGGGGCUAAUGACGGUACCGGAAGAAUAAGCACCGGCUAACUACGUG